CCGGUGCGGUUGAUCGAGGUUGAAAGUGUGCACCAAGGCGCCCCGGUGCGCACCGGUGCGGGUGAUCGAGGACGCUAUAAAGGAGGCAUUGGACCUUCCUUCCUACGUGGUUGAGGGAGUCCGAAAUCGGCGCAAUUUCCGUGUGGGCGUCGAUACCGAAACUGCAUUUCCUUACAGCAAUCGACAACGACAAUAACGAUCGCUUGUAUAAUGGUCGCCUUUUGUGGUUUGUGAAACCACCGUGGCGUUUUGUUCGGUGAAGCACCGUGCAGUGGAGUUUUCUUCGUUUUGUGUGGUGGAACCCGACCAAGCUUUCUUUCGCGUUUUCGUCGUGAACGUAGCUUCUGCAGUGGGAGGUGGUGCUAGUCGUGAAAUGUGGCGUCAGGGAGGGCAAAGAACGCCGAAGAAGGAUGCGUGUUUGCACUGUUGCCGCUGUGGUUUGUGCGUGGGUGACAUUUAUGAGGCACUUGUGUAAGUUCUUGGGAUCAGGUAAGUGACUGCGGUGCGCCGUUUGCAGGUAAGUGCACGUGCCUCUGCUGCAUUGGGAGGCCACGAAUGGCAUUGCAUUAUAGACGACAGGCGCACCUGAGGUCUCCUCUGUAAUUGGAAAUCGUUUUUUUUUUUAUUACUAAGCAGCUCUUUAUUUUUCUCUCCGUCCACAUGUUCGUCUAGUUCACCUUUCCUUCUUUGCUCACCUUGGACGCGAGCAGCAAUUUUGGAAGUUUGCAUGCAUGAUUUUCUGCCGUACACCUCUGACGUGUUGUUCUCACUUAAAUAAUGAGUCUUCAUAAACAUUUCGACAAAUAAAAAUGUAAAAAAACAAACAAACCGUGAAGGUGGCUCAGCUGCCAACUGGCAACUUAUUCGUCUAGCAGACCGCUACUACCGUGCCUAACCUCUCGCUGGCUUGCUACCUACUAAACUCGCCCACUGCGUUGUCCCACGCCACACUGUCUACCUCGCAGGAGACGCUUCUGUGGCUGCAUCGCGAUUGUGAUGCUCACUGCAUGCUUGGCGCUGAAAGCUGACCUGCAUGUUUGUACGGGCAGGUGUUGCUCGUCAUUACAAAGGGGAAAACGCGACGUAUCGCGUUUGACAUAUCAGCCCAUAAUACAUGUCAAUGUUUCUGCCUGCAUAGAUACUUUUCAAAACUACAUUCCGUAACACACGUAAUCCGUGAAGAUAACCUUAGUUUUCUAUGUUGCUUAACCUCAUUAAAGUGCCUGUCAUAGUGGGCAAGGUUCUUGUUUCCCCGGGGGGGCAUAGGAGCCGUAGUAGUAGAGAGUGGGCUCCUGCCAGGCUUCUCGUACGCGUAACUUUUCAAGAGCAGUUUUAAUGAUCGCCUUUUGAGUUAAAUAAACGCCCUUGGGCAAAAAUGGCCUACUGAGCGAAGCGGGAGCUCAGCGUUAUAAUCCCAGGUGCUCACCUGAGGCCUCCGUUUGCAGGCUACAUGUGCCCUCCUGGAGCAGUAUUUUUGAAAAAUUCCAGCUGUUGUCGCGACGAGAAAAGCACCCAGCCACAAAAAAGCGUCAUAAGCACAAACGAAUCAAAGCUUUGCCAUCGAGAAACAGGCUGUUGUGAGUGGCUCUUGUGGGUGCUGAUGGAACACCACGCAAGAAAUUUCACCCAAAAGUAGAGAGAAAAAUGUGGUCAGUUUUAAGGACACUCAUGACAUUGUAAACAUUAGCGCCAUGAAAAUAAGCAAGAUAUGGGCGGAGUAUUGGUGGCGCAUAAGUAAAGAACCAGUUGUGUUGAAUGGGGAUUAGUACAUGGCCGCAGGAUGGUGUAAUCAUGCACUUAUACACAGCAAGAAGUUGAAAUUAAGAACACAUCUAAAAAUAGUAAAGUUGCAUGUGAACUAAAAUAUGUGCAAGAGAGUUGACACCACUGCUGCAUUUUGGAGAGGAAAUCACUAAUAAUAAUAAUAAGAUGAAGAAGACUCAUCAAAUGUAGUUCUGCGAGUGCUUUUCUGAAAGUGAAAAGUUGAGGUUUCUGAACAUUUCUGUCAGACCAUUUGAAGAAUUGUAAGGUUCAGAAACAGCGGCCUUGUGAUUUCGCACUUGGCCACAAUAUAAAUAUAAGUGGUGGCGUACAUACUACUGGUUCUUUUGUUUGGAGGGUCAGUUCUGAAGCUUUCUGGCCACUUUAUGAUCUCAGUAACUGAUAGAGACUACGUGCCAUGACAUGUUGAUAGACUGGACAGACACAUUGUAAUGCUGUAUAAUAAGCAGUGAUGUUUGGCCACGCUCGUGUGUCCUCAUUUGUCUAUUUGCCAAGCUGUGUCUUUUAACUAGACGGUUUAUGGAAGGAAAUGAAUGUGAAAUUGGACUUGAGCAUUGCUGACCCUGGAAACAAUUCCCUGCAAGUGCUCCUGAAACCAUCUUCAAAGUGGGGUAGGUUUAUGGUUGCAUUUGACCGGUCAUUCUAUAGCACGCUGGAUGGGUUGCUAACAUCAUGCAUGGUGGCUGUAUUAUGUGAUGGCUUUAAUUGGGCAUCUGCCUUUGUUGCAGUAAAGCUUGGUUGCUGUCUUACACGACCAUUGGCGUGCUGCCAAAGUGCUCCAACAAGAACAGACGGAAGUGCUAGUUGAGCAUUUAGGAGGCACAUAAAAGCAACAUUUCUUAGAAGUAAUUUGAAUGCUUGUAGAGUGAAGCCUUUAUGGACUUGUUGAGCAGUAACUGCUAAAUGUAUUUGUUGCUAAUGAAAAAAGGAGGCAUGCAAGUUCACCCCACUGUGCAAUCAGUGAAGAGUUUGCUAACAGUGAAACAUGUGGGCUCACCUUAGCUCAAGUAUCAGUGCCUGCAUGCAGGGACUGCAAGGUGGCUCAUAACACCCGAUGCGUGUGCAUGACUACAUUUUGUCUCUUCAUGCUUUUGAUGCUUGCCUCUGAAUUGCCCCUCUUCUUGUUUCUCUUCUCCUUUCAUCUGCUGUACUGGUAUGCACUUUUCACAAUCAUUAGCUGGUCCAGUUUCCUGUAUUAUUCUAGUGACAUCAACCUGGCCCACCUUAAUAACCUGGUUCCUUCUUCUGAUGACACUGAUGGUAGGCUGUACUGAUGUCACACAUGCUGUUUUAGUUCAAUUGUCGCAUGCAGCAAAUUACCAUACUGAUUUUCUUGUAAAAAAGGAGUGCAUUAGAAAUAGCAAAAUAUAGUUACAAUUUAUUUUGAGCUCUCAUUCCUGCUUCAAAAUUAACCAACUGCAGGCAUUGGUGCUUUCGAGCAGAGGCAACGUGUCGGCACAUUCACAGUUCUUUAGAGCUGCCAAGACAGAUGCUGCAGCCACUGGGGUCAGGCAUGUGCGUGCUGACCAAUCAAGUUCAAGUUACCUGGCCCAGGAUCGAAAGAACUCUGGCCCAUAGUGAUGGGACUGACAGCUGGAAGUACGCAUUGCAGCUUGCUAGAGUGCUGUAUAAACCACUGUAGAUGCUCAAGAUCUGUCAAGUACAUGAAGACAGCUCUUCUCAGCGUGCCUACUCAGCUGUGUGCAGUGGUGGCUGUGUUUUAUUCAGAACAGGAGCUAUGGUUUUACUGCUACUGAGUGUCCAAAUUGUGCACAUUUGGGCAAUGCUUUAAGGCAUGCGAGCGUUGCAUUAGUGCGCUGGGUGCAGCAGUUCAAUGAAAACAGUGUCUGGGCUCUCGUGGGCUAAAUGUUAGGCAAAUAAGAGCAUACGACUUUCUUGGAUUAGUAGUUUUCUUGCGUCCCCUCUCAUCUGCACAGAGCUAAAAAUUCUCAUUGCAUGCAGUUUAAUGGCAUUGUUGGGCAGUUCAAUACUUGUAUGUUUUAUCCACAAUAAACCAAAAGUAUUUGUCAUCUGCAGCAAUGGCGAACAGCAAAAUUUCGUUUGUGCUGCUAUGAAACAAUUGUACCAGCUGUCAUCACUGCCAAGGUAAAGAAUGGCGCCUGCUAUGUGCCGUGUUUCAUCAUAACAUUGACAGACAGCACCAUCAUUGCUUCCACUGAGAUAUUUUUUCGUUUUAUGUUGCAACAAAUUCGGCAUGCUUGUGCCACCACUUGAUUGUGUGCAGUCGGCAAGCACAAUGGUGGAUGCACAUGCUUCGCAGGGAAGAAGAUUGUGCAGCAUGUGCGUUACUCACAGCUUCCGCAGUGCUUUUUGAUGAUGAACAUUCUGGCCACCAUGAUAGACUUAACAGCCACUUGCAAGCUAGCAACUACAAAGAAUGCUGACUUGGGCCAGUUGGCGCCACAUGUUGAAAUUAAAAAGAGUAACAACGCAAAGGACAGACGAGAAAAGGGAAAUGGUGACACAUGCGUCAGUGCAUUGUCAGUAUCCCUCCUCUCUAAGGAAAUUGCCGUUCUUUGCAAUGAUUGUGCCCAUUUGGCAAUUUAUUUAAAAUUUUUAUUUUAGAUAUCUGAUGCUUUCACAUGUGCAUCUGUAUACGAACAUGUUGAGUAAAAUGUGCCAGUGUGCUAUAAUGGAGAGCAGUUAUGAUUAUGCCAGUUCAGGUAAAAAAGAAAAAUUUGGCAGGUAGCUGAAAACUUUAAAAUUAAUGCAAAUUAUCGCAAAUUGGCUAUAAGCCUUACAGCUGACUGGGACCAUGCUUUUACUUGUGCCACACUUGUGAUGUUAGAGAAGAGCCCUCAUCCAUGCACCGAGAAUGUGUGCCAGGACUCUUUUAACAGGCUGCCUAAAACGUGCAGCUUGAGGCCAUUCGGAGUCGCGUGCUGCAUUGCCGCUUCUGCAACUACACGGCACUCUAUCACUCGCUGCUGCUGCGUCACGAGCGCAUCCACACAGGCGACCGUCCCUACCAGUGUCCGAGCUGCCUCAAGCGCUUUGUGCAGAAGUCGCACCUGGAGACACACCUGCGCUUGCACUCGGGUGAACGACCCUACCGCUGCAGACAGUGCUGCCGCACUUUUGCUGCCGCCUCGGCACUAGCCAGCCACGUGCUGGUGCACAAUGUUGCUGCCACCACUUCGCAGGAGGAUGUUGGGGAAGUCACGCUGAGCUGUGAACAGUGCCGCCUUGUGUUCGCUUCUCCAGCUGAACUGUCAGCACACGCGUGCCCCCUGCCCAUUGGUCCUGAGCACUAGCCUCGAAAGCGUCUUCAUUAGAUCAAGUUCACUCGUGCUUGCAUGCGACAAGUCGAUGCAGUGGGCACUGCUGCACUUAUUCUGUACUGAGGCGCACCAAACUACUGUGGGAACGUCUCAGAUUACAGAAGGAUGCAUAAGACUUCAUUCACACAGCCAUCAUGCAUCCUUUCACUACCUCAGGCACUGCGGUGGCAGGUAUCAGGCGGCCGUUCCACGCACGGGGCGAGACGUUCCACUGCGACUGCUGCGAGUACACCACGCGCCACAAGUGGAACAUGGUGGUGCACGUGCGCACCCACACGGGCGAGCGGCCCUUUCGGUGUGGGGUGUGCCCCAAGUCGUUCUCGCGCAAGAACGUGCUCGAGGAGCACAUGCACACGCACACGGGGGCCCGUCCCUUCCGCUGCUCCCUCUGCCCUGUGGCGUUUGCACACAAGAACUCGCUCGUGACGCACCUCAAGCGCCACGUGGGCGAACGGCCCUUUGCGUGCCCAGAGUGUGGCCGGUCGUUCACCGGCCGCUUCUCGCUCAACCGGCACCUUCUGUCGCACGCACGCUCGGCACCUCUGCCCUGACUUUUGAAGAGGUGCUACGAUGGAAGGAAGCUCUGCUCUCUUUAGCCCUCGUAGUUGGCCCAGCCAACUUUGGUCCGAGUACCAGGGCAUGAUGCACAUUAUUCGGUAACAGAGCUCUGGGGCGACGGAACACGAGCAUGGGUAACAGACACAAUUAGACCACCCAUUGCAGCUGGGCUUUGUGUUACACCCACAGGAAGGGCAGUGCACGAGGCUUAAAAGGCAAGCAACAGAGGCAUGUGUGUGCAGUUGUACUCAUUGUCAUGCAGUGAAACAAAAAAGCUCAGAGAACAGCAUUACGUUAUGAGUUGUACCAGUGUCAUCUGUUUGAAUGCAGAGCCAUUUUGUUCCAAGCUGUGUGAAAGAUCUUGAUAGGAUCUUGUGUUGUCAAGAAUGCCACUUUUUCCCAUGAGCGGUUGGUUGAACAAAGUCUGGUUGAACGCAUUGCGUUCGUGCUUGUCUUUAGCCAGUGCUUAUUUUUCGUCUCCCAAGUAAUUUUAGUGCUUUAUUCUUCAGUGAUGAUGAUGCAUGACAAAAGAGUUGUGGUUUGAGCUAGUUGACACAGCUUACACACCAGCUAUGUGCACAUUGUUUCUGAGAGCUUCAACAUAUCAAAAUUACAGAAAAACGGAGCCAAGAUGGCACACCAACACAUCGGAAGCACCAAAACAUGGAUCACCUGUGGCAAUUUCAUCUGUGGCAUCUACAGAAUGGCGUAUCAAAGUAUUGGCUGGAGAUGUUCAUGAGGGCUCUGCCUUUCAGAUACUUGUCCUGAAAGUUAUAACACCAAACGUUUAUUUUUCUGCAACCAUUGAGGUUGAAAUUUGGGAUGCCUUAUUCUGUGCAUUUGCCUCCAGCAAAUUAUGCCACGUGGCUCCUUUUGUAUUGUCACCAAAAAAAGGUCACACCUUGCACCUUUAUGUCUUGAAGGAGAAAGAGUGACAGGAUUUGUCAGCAGUGAAACCGGUUGAACAAGACAACUCGGUAUGAAACUUAGCAAGUUGAUGAAGCGUUUUAUUUCUCUUGCCUUAUGCCUUUUGCACUGUAAUACUCAUGUGACUUGGCUAUGAAAUGGCGGAACACCUGUACUUCUAUGAGUGUCCAAAUGCAUCUUAACCGAGGAUGCUCAUUUGAGGUAGCUAGUGCGCCGAUUCUUCCACACCAUUCACCAUAUUCACAGGGAACAAUAUAUUCUAUUUCAUUACAAUAUAUAUUGUGCUUCCUUGGGUUAAUCCAUACUUGCAGACCUUGUGUAUUUUUCAGAUGUAUUUUUUGUGAGCAUGGAAAUGUAAUGAACAAUUGCAUCAGCAUUUCCUUGUACAAAUGCAAAUACACAAUGUGAAUUCUCAAGUCAAGGAGAUUAAGCUCGUCAUUUGUUCUUGUUUAGAACUACUGUCGCUUUGAUUUUUCCUUCUUGCCUCAGCCAUUGAGCCUAUGCAGAAUAGCGGGACGCUGUUGCCAUUCAGCUAUAUUUAUUGUCACUUCUGUUUAUGAUGCGUUCCAUCAUGCAUUCGCAGUGCCUGCAGUAAGUGCUUCUGUGAAACUGAACUUGUCUUCUUACAUGUGCGAUGUGAAAGCCUUGUGAAAUUAAUUUGUUCAGAACUGCUUGCAUAUAAGUUACUAAAUUUUCAGUCUGGCUUUUUGUUUCGUUUUGUUUGUUUGGUUUGGUUUUUUGUUUCAGGCUGGCAUAUUUGUUUUCGUGCAUGACUCUGCAGCUAUGAACGGUGUGUUAGUAUUUUAAUAAAUGCCUGUUCCUCACUUGCAUUCCAUGCAGUUAUGAUUACAUUUGUAAUCGCGCAUUUACCGAGAGACAGACUGCAUAGGUAGGUUGUGAUCACGUCAUUUGCUUUUGUGCUCUCAGGACCAUUUCAUAUCCUGGCAUUAUGAAUAUGGCAAGCAGGCUCUUUCCAAAUAUGUGUUGGAUGGAAGCUCUUAUUGGUGCAAUUGCAUGUGUAUCCUAUACAACUGUCCUGUGAUAACAGAACCUGAAAACUUCUUGCCCUAUCGACACUCUUUCUUUUCCAGUUAAUUUAGGGUAAUUUCAAUCUGUAGAGGCUCUGCCUGGUUUUAGCAUUAAUUACUUUGAUGCGUUAGCACAUAUUGUAUAUAGUGAAGCCUUGUUUAUCAACUUGCAUCUCUGUUCAUAAUAACCUAUCAUCACUAUCAUUCACAUAUUUAUGCCUCAUCUAAUGUAUUUAUUGCUAGUGUUUAUCCAACACCGUGGCCCAUUGUAAAGUAGUUUGCAAUGAUUUUGUUGAUGUAUUGGCAGUCUCCAUAUGUUCCUUUAUGCUGUAAGUUGGCAACCCUUCUGAAGCAGCACGGCCAGUGAGCAGGCCGCAAAUAUUUGCCGUAAAAAGUUAAUAAUUAACAAAGCUGCCUUGACAGCAACUUUUCAUGGAACCUACAAGUUGUAGCACUAGUAUUGGAUGGCAAGUACUAGUGCAUUUAGACGUCUUUAACCAAGGCCUGUUGUUGGGCCUGCAUAGCCAGCAACUCCCCACUAAUCAUGCUCCCAGGAUUAACAAGGUUUCCUGCAUGUCUGUUGUAUGCAAUCUGGAGUGGCAAGCAUGUUGUGAGCCUGAUUUUUUUCUAAAACACUGACACUUUGCUCCAUUCCCGCUUAGCUUUAUCAGCAGUGUCAACUCUUUACAACCAGGCACAUGUAACUGUGGUGACUUAGCCUCGUGGGCUGCCAGCUUCUGUUCUUAACUGUACUCCAUCUUGGUAAUCCCUUUCAGCAUUGCCGAAGCUAUAGCGUAUGUUGAGGCUGUGCUGGUACAUCAUGGUACUGCACUCGGGCCAUUACUGAAACACUGCUUCACAACUUUGACCUUAAUGUGUCACUGGUAAACUGGGGGGAAAGUGGUAUGUUUGAAUCUAGAUAUUGUCACAUUGGUGUAGCGAUAAUGGCGAGCAUGAUCUACGAGUGUGUCAGCUAUUUAUACAUAACUCUGUACAUUGAAGAGUAUGCCGAGCCAGCUCUUGUGCUUCCUUAAUCGGGGAGUACUACUGAGCAUGAAAGCUUUAUAAGUGGUUGUUGCACCCAGUUGUGCUAUGCUUCUCUAUAAAAUAAAUGCCUUUGUAACACA